CACGUAGGGGGCGAGCGUUGUCCGGAUUUAUUGGGCGUAAAGAGCUCGUAGGCGGUUCGGCAAGUCGGGUGUGAAAUUUCGAGGCUCAACCUCGAAACGCCACUCGAUACUGCUGUGACUGGAGUCCGGUAGAGGAGUGCGGAAUUCCUGGUGUAGCGGUGAAAUGCGCAGAUAUCAGGAGGAACACCAACGGCGAAGGCAGCACUCUGGGCCGGUACUGACGCUGAGGGAGCGAAAGCGUGGGGGAGCAAACAGG
rnacentral:rRNA from 1 species